rnacentral:lncRNA from 12 species
UGUUAAAAACGCUAGGUUUUGUUUCGGGGUUCUUUUUUGGGGGGAGGGGGUGGAGGGGAAUCGUUACUGUCCGUCAAACAAGUUACUACAGCGACCUCUCGACCAGCCACCCGCUACCCCUUCGGGCUCGAAGGCAGGUUCGAAGCGAAGGCGGGUUCCGGAGGCCCCCGCACAGGUUCACUCCUCCCCCACACGCCCGCAGGUUCCCGGCGCGGGGCUACCUCUCCUCACAGGUGCACAGGGAGGGAGACUGUCGCGGGGAAAUGAAGGGUCCGGGGGGGAGGGGCGAGCUACCACAGCAGUAGAAAGUUCCUCCUCACCCAGACCCUCGGGACUCGUCCUCACCCCCGCCAGGGAGCCGCGAGACCGAGGUGGCGGCGGAGAUCCAGGGCAGGAAAAGGCGGGGGAAAGGGGCGGGGAGCGCUCUCCUCGCUCGGCCCAGGGGGAGGAGUGGAGCACUCGGGCACCUGAGGCUCGACGGCAGGAGGCGGGGAGCUGUGUGCUGUGGCGAGAGGGAAGGGGAGGGCGGCGGCGGCGGCGGCGGCGCGGAGAGGAGGGAGGGAGAGAGGUCAGUGCACCUGGUCGCAGCCUCCAAGUUUCCCUAGUCCGCUCCCCGGGAGUCCGCGGCUGCACAGAACUCCAUGGCUUCCUGGCCCGCCCGACCCCUGCGCUCAGCCUUUGCAAAAACAGCCCGUGCUGGCGCCGUGGACACCGCGACGGAGGCUGCGGGCGGCGGUUACCACGGGGUCUCCCAGCGCCGAGAGGACCCGCCCCCACGUUGCCAGGGUGUCUUCGGGGACUCGGACGAGGACACCUGAGGGACCGCUACGAGCCCGGAGCGGCAGCGCGGGAGCCACCGAGGCUGCUGCGCCCGUCCGGAGGGAGCAGGGUCCCCACCCCCGACUGCUGUCAGCUGCUGCCCGCGCCGCGCGCCGCGAAGACUUGGAGCGACCUCUCCACCGGGAUGCCCCGGCAGCUGCCGCCGCUUGGCGGAGGACGGGAGCGGGAACGUGUCCACGAGGAAUGGGGCCGGUUCCUUGCUUCGCAGCUGCCGCCCCGCCAGACCUCCCCCACGUUCUGA